CAGACACCUGGCUGGCACUCCCAUGUUCUUCUCCCUGGAACCUUCUUCCCGGCCGUCGGCGCCAGGAGGAGGCCCCCCGCCCCCUGAGGUGCAGCCCCCCGGGGCUGGGCUGGAGGUGAAUUCAGAAGGCUUGGCUCCCUUUCACUCCCCGUGUUGGUGUUCCGUUCCCGGCUAGCAGCUCCAGUCCCUUGAGGGCACCUGAAGUGCCAGUGGCUGAUGGCACCGUGGACAACACCUGGCCACAUCCCCGGGACCCACCCUCCCCACAGAGAGACGUGGCACCAGUCUGCCGAGGAACAUCACCUAUGCCUCUGACAUCUGCGAGGAGGGCACCAUCUCCCCUCCCGGAAAACACAGAAUGCAGUUCCCGAUUUCCGGCUUCGACGGGUUGGGCGCCGGCUGAGUUAAGGGAGAAAUGCAAACAUGUGUUUCUCCGAUUUCAAUCUUCGUGGGAACUACGAGGGGAAUUUGAUAAAAUGUGGAUUCUGCUGCAAGAUGGCCAAGUGUGGGGCCUGCGAUUCCUGGAAGAACGCUGCGUGAAAAGGGUCUGUUCUCCAGAACUGGUGUUGUGUGUGACCCUCACAAAGCACCAAGAGCGAACAUGGGAGAAGUUUUAUAAACAUUUUUUCCUCUCUACACAAGACACAAGCCCAGAAAUUAAAAUGGAAAAUCUGAAAAUGUGAUGAAAUACAAAUUUAAAUUUCUCCAGGGCAACAGGACUAUAAACAGGAGACAACAGAAAAAAUUUGCAUAUGUGAAGGGAUUGCUUCCUUUAUUUAAUUCUGAAAGAUCUCUUAACAUAACUAAGACAAAGACCUCAAGGGGAAAAUGGUCCCACGACCCCCCCCCCCAAUCCUUUCUGGCCAGUGGAAGGAGGGCUUAUGUAUGAGCCUUAGCUCAAUCUCACUCAUAAUUAACGAAAUAAGAAAAAAAGAGAAAAGCACUGACAUACUUUUUUUUCUACCUCUCAGUCGAAAUCCUUUGUUUGCUUGUAAUACCUUAACAUAUAAUGUUGACAAGAGUAUAGGAUAAAAGCUGUUCUCAUGUCCUGCUAGUACAGAUGUAAGCUGUCACAAUGUGCUUGAUGGGCAAUUAAAAUAACACAUUUUUCUUGGGGUGCCUGGGUGGCUCCGUUGGUUAAGCAUCCAACUUCGGCUCAGGUCAUGAGUUCGAGCCCCGUUUGGCUCUGUGCUGACAGCUCAGAGCCUGGAGCCUGCUUCAAAUUCUCUCUCUCCCUCUCUCUCUCUGCCCCUCCUCCACUCGUGCGCGCGCGCUCUCUCUCUCUCUCUCUCUCUCUCUCAAAAAUAAAUGAUAAACAUUAAAAUUUAAAAAAAAAUCUUUUCCUAAGUGUUGGUCAAGAAACUAAUACCAGAGCUGCCCCUGGGCAGGAGAGUUUGGGGGAAAUCCAAGAGACAGACACUUUCAAACCGAAAAGAAGGCUCCAGGGACCGCAGGGGCAGAACUGGACAAUCAGAGCUCGUGGUCACUAAUAGCAAGGACUCAGUAAAUGUCGGCUAUUGCUGUUUUUUCCUCUUUAUUUUUUUAUCUUUGUGUGUAAAAAAAUGUUUAUGGUAAUGGGGGACUAAAUUAUUUGUAUUGGCCUUCAUACUGAAAAUGAAUGGAUAAACUAGUUUUAAAAUGUUGUCAGCCUUUGGGGCGCCUGGGUGGCUCAGCCCAUUAAGCAUCCAACUACAGCUCAGGUCAUGAUCUCAGGGUUUGUGAGUUCGGGCCCCGUGUUGGGUUCUGUGCUGACAGUUCAGACCCUGGAGUCUGCUUCAGAUUCUGUGUCCCCCUUUCUCUCUGCCCCUCCCUCCCCAUGUGCAUGCUCUUUCUCUCUCUCUCUC